AAACCUGAGAAACCCAAAAGAUCGAAUGGGGAGAUUCAUCGUCAACAUAUUUGGUAUAUGUGCGAGUUAUGAUGUAAAUUAUCCUUGUGGUAAAUUUAUACGUGCUUGUAUCAUUUUAUUGCUGAGUAUUGUCGGCGUGCACUUCUCCCCUAGUAGGACGUCGCGACCCAUUGAGCGUUGAUUUAUGACCCGGAUGGUAGUCUUUAAUCAUUAUGAUUGAAGACCACUGGUGAUCUAAUCGGCUGCUUGAUGGUACUCGCAUGGUAAUGAGUCGCAAUUAUUUAAUUUGCGUCAAGCCCAUUGCAAGCGCGGCUAGUUAUUCGAUAGUGCGGAUUUAAUGCCGUCAUUGGAGCUAGCCAGCUGUUGGUUGAUGGUGUUCUUUGACUGGCUCAAAAUUACCGGUCUGCGACGCUACUGCUUUGGGUACUUUCAGGACCCGUCUUGAAACACGGACCAAGGAGUCUAACAUGUGCGCGAGUCAUUGGGAUUUUUAUAAUAAACCUAAAGGCGCAAUGAAAGUAAAGGUCGUCUUUAUGUCGACUAAGGGAAGAUGAGUUACAUUACGAUGAGCUCCGCACUCCCAGGGCGUCUCAUUCUCAU
rnacentral:rRNA from 1 species